rnacentral:rRNA from 1 species
AUUGAACGCUGGCGGCAUGCCUUACACAUGCAAGUCGAACGGCAGCAUGGGUGCUUGCACCUGAUGGCGAGUGGCGAACGGGUGAGUAAUGCAUCGGAACGUACCCGGAAGUGGGGGAUAACGUAGCGAAAGUUACGCUAAUACCGCAUAUUCUGUGAGCAGGAAAGCGGGGGAUCGCAAGACCUCGCGCUUCCGGAGCGGCCGAUGUCGGAUUAGCUAGUUGGCGGGGUAAAGGCCCACCAAGGCGACGAUCCGUAGCGGGUCUGAGAGGAUGAUCCGCCACACUGGGACUGAGACACGGCCCAGACUCCUACGGGAGGCAGCAGUGGGGAAUUUUGGACAAUGGGCGCAAGCCUGAUCCAGCCAUGCCGCGUGAGUGAAGAAGGCCUUCGGGUUGUAAAGCUCUUUCGGCCGGGAAGAAAUCGCACAGGUUAAUACCUUGUGUGGAUGACGGUACCGGAAUAAGAAGCACCGGCUAACUACGUG